UUUCCAGGCAGUAUGACUGUGGAAAUACAAUUUCUGUGACCUUUUGUCAGGUGCCUGCAGUGCUUCCAAUAUAAAUUCCCUGCUCUGAGGAAGAUCCUGCAGCAGUGCUGUGUCCCAUGCAAGUUACAACCAUUCAACUACUGGUGCACUACUUACAUGGGAGAAGAAGGCAGCUGGGACCAUGAUCUAGAUAUCAUUACCACCUACUUUUGACAGAAAGCUCUCCAGGACAGGAUCUGCAGUUAGGAGUGAAGACGUCCAGCUGCCAUCCUGAGCAAAGAAUGUGGCACUCAGCAACUCCUCAAGGCUCACCAUAAACCACCUCUUUUCAUCCAAGGACCCCAACAAGAAGCUUAAAGCACGCACGUCUCCUUCCAAGCCAAACAUGCCAACAUACUUGCACUCCAGGAGGGUCAGGUAGCUAAAAGUUAGGUGCUGAAAAGUGUUAAUGCCUGAAUCCUGAGUUUAACAGGGGGGAAACAUAUCAUUUACAGAAUUUGCUCAAGUGCUGUAGGUAGUGGAAAAGCAUUGGUUUGUUGCAUGCUGUAAAGGCAGCAUCUCAAUUUUACAAGCAAUGUUAAUUGGGAAACCUUUAGGGAAAAAGGCUGAAUUGUGAUUAAAAAAAAUCACUGAAGGAUAAGUAAUUGAAUUUAUUUUACUGAAAUCAAUAAAAAGACCUUUAACUAAUUGCA
rnacentral:lncRNA from 1 species